GAUAAUAUUGUUUAGUGUAGAAACACUGGCUUCAGAGUCAGAAGACCUGAGUUCAAAUCUUGGUUUUGCUA
rnacentral:tRNA from 1 species